GAUGAACGCUGGCGGCGUGCCUAAUACAUGCAAGUCGAACGCUGGAGAUCUAGCUUGCUAGAUCGAAGGAGUGGCGAACGGGUGAGUAAUACAUAAGCAACCUACCCACGAAGACUGGGAUAAUCUCUGGAAACGGGGACUAAUACCGGAUAGGUAAUCGGAAGGCAUCUUCUGGUUAUUAAAGGUUAAAAACACUGGUGGAUGGGCUUAUGGCGCAUUAGUUAGUUGGUGAGGUAACGGCCCACCAAGACGAUGAUGCGUAGCCGGCCUGAGAGGGUGAACGGCCACAUUGGGACUGAGACACGGCCCAGACGCCUACGGGAGGCAGCAGUAGGGAAUUUUCGGCAAUGGGGGCAACCCUGACCGAGCAACGCCGCGUGAGUGAAGACGGCCUUCGGGUUGUAAAGCUCUGUUGUAAGGGAAGAACGGUAGAUAGAGAAUAUCUAAGUGACGGUACCUUACCAGAAAGCCACGGCUAACUACGUG
rnacentral:rRNA from 1 species